GCAGUCGUGGCCGAGUGGUUAAGGCGAUGAAAAAUCCAUUGGGGUCUCCCCGCACAGGUUUGAAUCCUGUCGACUGUG
rnacentral:tRNA from 2 species